GCCUCUUGUACCCCCAUGGAUUUCACAUGCAAAUCAUCCUAGGUGCUCACAAAGAAAUCCCCAGCAGACCCUGGGACUGUGUGGUGAGACUUCAUCCUCCAGGUGGCCAUGCAGACACUGGAGCUCCUCAUCUGCCUGCUGGCAGCUCCACUCGGUGUCCUGUCUGAGCUGACACUGAAGGAGUCAGGCCAAGGGCUGGUGAAACCCUCCCAGACACUCUCCCUCACCUGCACUGCUACUGGGGGCUCUGUCACCAGCAGUUACUACUGGGAUUGGAUCCGCCAGCGUCCUGGGAAAGGGCUGGAGUGGAUGGGGUACUGGAGUGGAAGUACCUCCUAUAACCCAGCCUUCCAAGGCCGCAUCACCAUCAAGGCCGACACGUCCAAGAAUGAGUUCUCUCUGCAGCUGAACUCCAUGACUGUUGAGGACACCGCCACAUAUUACUGUGCAAAAGACACAGUGAGGGGAAGUCAGGGUGAGCCCAGACAAAAACCUCCCCUGCAGGGCACAGAAGGGGUUGGGCUACAGGGGACCUUUGGGACCGUCAAGGACAGAACUGAGCUCCAGGAGCAGGUGCAGGUUUAA